rnacentral:tRNA from 1 species
GCGCUCUUAGCUCAGUGGAUAGAGCAGUAGCCUUCUAAGCUAUUGGUCACAGGUUCGAAUCCUGUAGGGCGCG